ACUUGACUUGAGCUUCUUCACGGCAGAUUGUUUCCACUUCACUGUUAAGGGACACGAGAAGCUGGCAAAGGGACUGUGGAACAACAUGUUCCAGCCUGAAGGAGGGAAAGAGAUGAUAAAGACAUUUGAUGAGCAGAUAAAACUCAUCUGUCCACCGAAGGAGCAUCCGUAUAUUUACACCAAACCCCGAGCUGUAUCGUCUGCAGCGGCACUGAAGCAUUUCUCCCUGAUGCUGAUGUCUCUGCUUUCUGUGUUUGUCCCGUUUCAUUUACUGUAAUUCGACUCAACAAAAGCUGAGUCCUGCUGGAGCCACCAAACCCACAACACAAACAC